UACGGAGGGUGCGAGCGUUGUCCGGAUUCAUUGGGCGUAAAGAGCGUGUAGGCGGCCAGGUAGGUCGGUUGUGAAAACUGGAGGCUCAACCUUCAGAGGUCGACCGAAACCAUCUGGCUAGAGUCCGGGAGAGGAGAGUGGAAUUCCUGGUGUAGCGGUGAAAUGCGCAGAUAUCAGGAAGAACACCCGUGGCGAAAGCGGCUCUCUGGAACGGUACUGACGCUGAGACGCGAAAGCGUGGGGAGCGAACAGG
rnacentral:rRNA from 1 species